rnacentral:pre_miRNA from 1 species
CCUGAUCACUGGAUAUGCCUGUGAUCAGGGCACCUCCAAAACCUGGCUCCCAAGUCUCUUACCCUGAUCACUGGCAUAUCCAGUGAUCAGG